GACGAACGCUGGCGGCGUGCCUAGUACAUGCAAGUCGAACGCUUCCUACCGGUGCUUGCACCGGGAAAGAAGAGUGGCGGACGGGUGAGUAGCACGUGGGUAACCUACCUACAAGCGGGGGAUAACAUUCGGAAACGGAUGCUAAUACCGCAUAGAUCUUUUUGUCUCCUGGCAGAAAGAAGAAAGACGGUUUCGGCUGUCACUUGUAGAUGGACCCGCGGCGCAUUAGUUAGUUGGUGAGGUAAUGGCUCACCAAGACGAUGAUGCGUAGCCGACCUGAGAGGGUGAUCGGCCACACUGGGACUGAGACACGGCCCAGACUCCUACGGGAGGCAGCAGUAGGGAAUCUUCCGCAAUGGACGAAAGUCUGACGGAGCAACGCCGCGUGAGUGAAGAAGGUUUUCGGAUCGUAAAACUCUGUUGUUAGAGAAGAACAAGGAUGAGAGUAACUGCUCGCCCCUUGACGGUAUCUAACCAGAAAGCCAUGGCUAACUACGUGCCAGCCGCCGCCGCAG
rnacentral:rRNA from 1 species